CAAUAGCGUAUAUUAAAGUUGUUGCGGUUAAAAAGCUCGUAGUUGGAUUUCUGCUGAGAACGACCGGUCCGCCCUUUGGGUGUGUAUCUGGCUCUUUCUUGGCAUCUUCUUGGUGAACGUUGCUGCACUUGACUGUGUGGAGCGCUACCCAGGACUUUUACUUUGAGGAAAUUAGAGUGUUUCAAGCAGGCAUACGCCUUGAAUACAUUAGCAUGGAAUAAUAAGAUAGGACCUCGGUUCUAUUUUGUUGGUUUCUAGAGCUGAGGUAAUGAUUAAGAGGGACAGUUGGGGGCAUUUGUAUUUCGUCGCUAGAGGUGAAAUUCUUAGAUUGACGAAAGACAAACUGCUGCGAAAGCGUCUGCCAAGGAUGUUUUCAUUGA
rnacentral:rRNA from 1 species